rfam:Triticum urartu cultivar G1812 contig729948, whole genome shotgun sequence.
AAAGUGCUCCCUCUGUCCCGAAAUUCUUGUCUUAGAUUUGUCUAGAUACGGAUGUAUCAAGUCACAUUUUAGUAUUAGAUACAUCCGUAUCUAGACAAAUCUAAGACAAGAAAUUUGGGACAGAGGAAGUAGUUG